rnacentral:tRNA from 1 species
AGAUAUAAAGCUGAAAGCAAGUCAUUGUUAAUGAAUAGAAGUAUGGAGGCGAGGUUCCCCCUUUUUCCG